ACCGAGGUGGUGGAAUUGGUAGACACGCUACCGUGCCCUAACGGGCUUGUGGGUUCGAGUCCCAUCCUCGGUACCA
rnacentral:tRNA from 1 species